GAUGAAGAACGCAGCGAAAUGCGAUAAGUAAUGUGAAUUGUAGAAUUCAGUGAAUCAUCGAAUCUUUGAACGCACAUUGCGCCCUCUGGUAUUCCGGGGGGCAUGCCUGUUCGAGCGUCAUUAUAACCACUCAAGCUUUCGCUUGGUAUUGGGGCUCGCGGUUCCGCGGCCCCUAAAAUCAGUGGCGGUGCCUGUCGGCUCUACGCGUAGUAAUACUCCUCGCGAUUGAGUCCGGUAGGUCUACUUGCCAGCAACCCCCAAUUUUUACAGGUUGACCUCGGAUCAGGUAGGGAUACCCGCUGAACUUAAGCAUAUCAAUAAGCGGAGGA
rnacentral:misc_RNA from 1 species